AGCGAACGCUGGCGGCAGGCCUAACACAUGCAAGUCGAACGAAGCCUUCGGGCUUAGUGGCGGACGGGUGAGUAACACGUGGGAACGUACCUUUUGGUUCGGAACAACUCAGGGAAACUUGAGCUAAUACCGGAUGAGCCCUUAGGGGGAAAGAUUUAUCGCCGAAAGAGCGGCCCGCGUUAGAUUAGCUAGUUGGUGAGGUAAAGGCUCACCAAGGCUACGAUCUAUAGCUGGUCUGAGAGGAUGAUCAGCCACACUGGGACUGAGACACGGCCCAGACUCCUACGGGAGGCAGCAGUGGGGAAUCUUGCGAAAUGGGCGAAAGCCUGACGCAGCCAUGCCGCGUGAAUGAUGAAGGUCUUAGGAUUGUAAAAUUCUUUUACCAGGGACGAUAAUGACGGUACCUGGAGAAAAAGCCCCGGCUAACUUCGUGCCAGCAGCCGCCGUAACAC
rnacentral:rRNA from 1 species